rnacentral:lncRNA from 12 species
GGGGAUCCCUGGGUGGCUCAGCGGUUUAGUGCCUGCCUUGGGCCCAGGGCGUGACCCUGGGAUCUCGGGAUUGAGUCCCGCGGGCUCCCUGCAUGGAGCCUGCUUCUCCCUCUGCCUGUGUCUCUGCCUCUCUGUCUCUCUCUCUCUGUGUCUCUCAUGAAUAAAAAAAAAAAAAAAAUUUAAAAAUUUAAAAAAAAAAAGAAAGAAUGAAUCUGAAGCCUUGUCCAAGCUCAGCAGAAAGAAAUGCAGGGACUGAUUACUGAUGUCGACAUGGGCCUGUGUUACACAUGCGGAAAUUUAUUUUGAUGUUUUGCAAUCCUAGUUUAAAGAAUCCCUAACUUCCCUAAGUUCAAUUUCUGCAGCUAUAAAGGUUUGCCUCUCUUGUCGUACAGACUGUUUUCCUGAGACUCCUCGUUCAGGGAGAGACGAAAUCAUCAUCUCCAAGUUUUUUCUUUGCAGGAGGCAGCUCAGAAGAACCAGGCCAUGCUCUGCUGCUGCAGAUGUGCUGAGAACACGCAAGGCUCGAAGGGCUACCAGCCUGUGAUCAGGGAGGGUGUGAAGAGGUCUGUUCCAGUAACCAGCUCUGAAGACGAACCUCUCGGAGCUACAAACCCAACUCCAGGGAACCGAAAUGCCUGCUCGGUGACCAAAAAAAAGUGUUUCUCAACAAAUUUUGAGUGUACACCUAGAGGAUCAACUGCUUCACCUCCCUGCAGAUACAGGUAAAAAUACAGCUGUUUGGUCUUUCCGUUCCACAGGUAAAGUUAGAAUCCUGAUUAUGAGGUGGGCUUGGAAACCAAAGAGAGACUAUGAAACCUCUCUGAGCCUCUGAUUUUUCACCCCUGAAAUAACUGUGCUUAUCCCAGAGCUCUGUUGUGAGGAUUAAACCAGCUAAUAUAUAGAAAAUGCCUCUAAUAGUUCUAGUGUCACCUAAUGUCCAUGAUUAGUACCCCGUGAAUGUCAGGUAAUAAUAAAAAAGACCAUAAUGGAAAGAAGGUGUGCUGG